rnacentral:rRNA from 1 species
UACGUAGGGUGCAAGCGUUGUCCGGAAUUAUUGGGCGUAAAGGGCUCGUAGGCGGUCUGUUACGUCGGGAGUGAAACUCGGGGCUCAACCCCGAGCCUGCUUCCCGAUACGGGCAGACUAGAGGUAUGCAGGGGAGAAUGGGAAUUCCUGGUGUAGCGGUGAAUGCGCAGAUAUCAGGAGGAACACCGGGUGGCGAAGGCGGAUCUCUGGGCCGAUACUGACGCUGAGGAGCGAAAGCGUGGGGAGCGA